rnacentral:rRNA from 1 species
UACGAAGGGGGCUAGCGUUGUUCGGAAUUACUGGGCGUAAAGCGCACGCAGGCGGACUGUUAAGUCAGGGGUGAAAUCCCGAGGCUCAACCUCGGAAUUGCCUUUGAUACUGCCAGUCUCGAGUCCGGGAGAGGUGAGUGGAAUUCCUAGUGUAGAGGUGAAAUUCGUAGAUAUUAGGAAGAACACCAGUGGCGAAGGCGGCUCACUGGCCCGGUACUGACGCUCAGGUGCGAAAGCGUGGGGAGCAAACAGG